rnacentral:rRNA from 1 species
CCUACGGGGGGCAGCAGUGAGGAAUAUUGGUCAAUGGACGAGAGUCUGAACCAGCCAAGUAGCGUGAAGGAUGACUGCCCUAUGGGUUGUAAACUUCUUUUAUAUGGGAAUAAAAUGUUCCACGUGUGGGAUUUUGUAUGUACUAUAUGAAUAAGGAUCGGCUAACUCCGUGCCAGCAGCCGCGGUAAUACGGAGGAUCCGAGCGUUAUCCGGAUUUAUUGGGUUUAAAGGGAGCGUAGGUGGAUUGUUAAGUCAGUUGUGAAAGUUUGCGGCUCAACCGUAAAAUUGCAGUUGAAACUGGCAGUCUUGAGUACAGUAGAGGUGGGCGGAAUUCGUGGUGUAGCGGUGAAAUGCUUAGAUAUCACGAAGAACUCCGAUUGCGAAGGCAGUUCACUAGACUGCAACUGACACUGAGGCUCGAAAGUGUGGGUAUCAAACAGGAUUAGAUACCCUUGUAGUC